ensembl:lncRNA
CAGGUUGUGAGUACAACUCCAACAGCCCCCGGAUCCUUGGAGAGCUGCCCACAGAAGGCAGAGGUUCGUGUGCCUUUCUUCCCGAAUUAACCACCAACACGUGUGUCACUGCUUUGCUGUUGACCCCACGCCUUUGCUGUUGCAUAAAGGAAAGGACAAGUUAUGGGACGCAAGGAACCUUCAGGAUGCCUUGGGAAUGGAGGGGAUGCAGCCAGUUUGGGUCCUGUCUCUUUUGGUCCAGCAGAAAACCGUGUGUGCGAUCAGAGCUGGGAAAGUGCUCCUGCUGGCUGUAAUUAGGGAUGUCAUUGCAAAGCAUUAUCUCACAGAGCUGGAGCCUAUACAGAGCCAUACGUCCUCCGUAGCCAAUUGUGCACGGAGGUGAUGGGAGAGGGAAGGGUGCUGGGAACGCUCUCCCUCACUCAUUUCCAGGACGUUCUGCUGCUGUGUGGUCCCUUUCCCUUCUCACAGAGCAAUGAUGAAAGCAGACAGCCAGCAAGACCCCGGGGAGCCGCGCAGUGCAGCCCAUGGCUUCUCUUCCAGCCAAGGCUGUGUGGAGCUGCGGGUCCUCACCCCCAGCUGGGCUCAGCCCACUCCUCCAUUUCCCGUUCGCUUUCUCCCAGAGCAUAUUUUCGGGACGUGGAGAUGUCCCAACCCUCCCUUCCUCCCCAGCGGUAGCGCAUCUCGGAGGGGCCACGAGGGCCGUCGCUGCCGGUCCUGCUCUUCUCGUAAAGCACAGCGAGCUUCUGGCCAGCAGCAGCCAUGCAAUUUCAGAGAUUGAGCAAAUUCCCCCUCCCACCCACUGAGGACCUCCCGGGACCGGCGCACAUCCCACCACAGGCAGCAGCCACCUCGGCCAGCCGCCCAUUGCUGCAACGGCUUGAGUCAAUCGAGACCAUUUCUCAUGCAACCCAUCCGUACCGGAGGUCCCCAGGAGGAGGGUUGGCUCAGGAAAACCUUCAGCCCCAAACCCAGCACUCCCCCAUGCAGCUGACGGAGCACAGCUCACAGCGCAGUGACCCAAAGUGCUGCGCCGUCUGUGCCACGUCCAGCUGGCCCUUCCGCUUUGCUGGCGUGCUCCUUCCUGCUUUUAUUUUGGCUCUUUUUUGUGUGGUUUUUUUUCUUUUUUUUGGCUACGUAUGCGUGCAAGUCCAGAUGGGAGGAAAGGUCAGACUUGCUGAUGCAGGAUGCCGAGUUCUCAGACAAAUGAAGGCUCCGUUUGGCAGCGGAUAGAAAACAGGAAUAUUUGUCUUUAUUCCGAGACUGAAUUUUUGUGGCUAAGCUGCACCAAAAAUACAUCUUCCCCCCCCACCUCUCCCAGACAUGAGACACCAUUGAAUGCUGAAAGCAACUCUUCCCUGCCACAAAUGGACCAAAUAAACCCAGCACGAGACCGGUGCUUAGCAGAAACCAGAUGCGCCUCUAAUGCUGUCGUCUACAGCAAGCUGCGUCUGCAAACUGAUCUUUUAUUAAUGUGUGUGCACGGGUGGGAGAGCUGGGAGAGUCCCAGCGCCGGGAGCACAACGUGCCAUCGCCCCGUGCCCAUGGGCUGCCUUAUGGCUCCCAAAGGGCAUCGCUGUGGGGUUACCCAAAGCCCCUCCGGACCCAGCAUUCGGGAUUUGCAGCAUUUGGCCUCGGUUUACCCCGAGCUGCACCAUGGAGGUGGGUUUUGGAGGGGUUCUCGGCGUGUUCUGUGGCUGCAGGAGGAGAAGGAGCUGUUAGUUGGUGCUGGCAGCUGAGAUGGGUGAGGUGAUCCAGGACGCUCCCCCCAUCCGCGUGGCUGGAUGUGCCCUCACCUGGGAGCUGGGCAGCUGUUGGAAGCACCAGAAAGGGCUUUCCCCCCCCCUGGUCUGCCCAGUUCAGGCUCUGUGUCUCUAUUUC